GACGGGUAUUCAUGUAAACGUCUUCAAACUUUGUAUACUUACUAAUUUUGAGGUGGUCUUUUUAGUGAUUUGGUUCAUUUCUUAAUUUGGGCACUUUUUAACACUCGUCCGCAGUCCACUCAUCAACUUCGGAAUGGCUAAUUGACAUCACCUUUGACAACUGUCUCUCUGUAGCUCAGUUGGUUAGAGCGCUGCACCAGAAUCUCGAAUGUCAGAGCCGCUCGUGGUUCGAUUCCUGCCAGAGGGCCGAUAGUUGCAUUUUUCUUUCGCAACUGCUCCUGCAUGGUUAGGUCUAAUGAAUGU